UACGUAGGUGGCAAGCGUUGUCCGGAUUUAUUGGGUUUAAAGGGUGCGUAGGCGGCUUUGUAAGUCAGUGGUGAAAUAUGUCAGCUUAACUGAGAGGGUGCCAUUGAUACUGCAGAGCUUGAGUACAGAUGAGGUAGGCGGAAUUGACGGUGUAGCGGUGAAAUGCUUAGAUAUCGUCAAGAACACCUAUAGCGAAGGCAGCUUACUAGGCUGUAACUGACGCUGAGGCACGAAAGUGUGGGGAUCAAACAGG
rnacentral:rRNA from 1 species